rnacentral:rRNA from 1 species
AUUGAACGCUGGCGGCACGCCUAACACAUGCAAGUCGAGCGGCAGCGAGAGUAGUAGCAAUACUACUUGUCGGCAAGCGGCGGACGGGUGAGGAACACGUAGGAAUCUACCCUCAAGCGGGGGACAACCAAGGGAAACUUUGGCUAAUACCGCAUAAACUCGAGAGAGGAAAGUUGCUCGCAAGGGUGACACUUGAGGAGGAGCCUGCGUCCGAUUAGCUAGUUGGUAGGGUAAAAGCCUACCAAGGCGAUGAUCGGUAACUGGUCUGAGAGGACGACCAGUCACACUGGGACUGAGACACGGCCCAGACUCCUACGGGAGGCAGCAGUGGGGAAUAUUGGACAAUGGGGGUCAACCCUGAUCCAGCGAUGCCGCGUGAGUGAAGAAGGCCUCGGGUCGUAAAGCUCUUUAGGUUGGGAAGAAGAGUGGUGGAGGAAAUGCCAUUACUUUGACGGUACCGACAGAAUAAGCACCGGCAAACUCUGUGCCAGCAGCCGCGGUAAUACAGAGGGUGCGAGCGUUAAUCGGAGUUACUGGGCGUAAAGGGCGCGUAGGCGGUAAGAUGGGUGUGAUGUGAAAGCCCCGGGCUUAACCUGGGAAGUGCAUAACAAACUAUCUAACUAGAGUAUAAGAGAGGGUGGCGGAAUUUCCGGUGUAGCGUGAAAUGCGUAGAGAUCGGAAGGAACGUCAAUGGCGAAGGCAGCCACCUGGCUUAAUACUGACGCUGAGGCGC